rnacentral:rRNA from 1 species
GACGAACGCUGGCGGCGUGCUUAACACAUGCAAGUCGAACGGUGAAGCGCCUUCCUUUUUGGUGGGUGUGGAUGAGUGGCGAACGGGUGAGUAACACGUGAGUAACCUGCCCCCUUCUUCUGGAUAACCGCAUGAAAGUGUGGCUAAUACGGGACAUUCUGGGUCUGUCGCAUGAUGGGUCUGGGAAAGAUAUUGUUUCGGUGGGGGAUGGGCUCGCGGCCUAUCAGCUUGUUGGUGGGGUGAUGGCCUACCAAGGCGGUGACGGGUAGCCGGCCUGAGAGGGUGGACGGUCACACUGGGACUGAGACACGGCCCAGACUCCUACGGGAGGCAGCAGUGGGGAAUAUUGCACAAUGGGCGCAAGCCUGAUGCAGCGACGCCGCGUGAGGGAUGGAGGCCUUCGGGUUGUGAACCUCUUUCGCCAGUGAAGCAGGCCUGCCUCGUUUGUGGGUGGGUUGACGGUAGCUGGAGAAGAAGCGCCGGCUAACUACGUG